AAAAUUAUUGUCAUAGUACAAGCUUCCAUGAGAAAAAGGAUUUGUGUAGUCACCAUCGUCUACCGGCUGUAUACCCCAUACGAAGCGCAAAGGGAUACAUUUAAUCAGUUAAUUUGAAAAUGGGAACUGUCUGGCAGCUGCAAGCCUGAUGCCACCAAUACAAAAGGGACCUAAUGAGGAAGAGCAGCUAUUGAUAAUGUGACGAACGUUUUCAAUCAUCAUAAAUUUCCACUGUUGCCGUUCAUUAUAUCAGUAAGUGUAACAAUCUUAACAUGAACUCAGCUAGUCUAUAAGUAAGGAAGGAAUAUCAAUGAGUAAAUAAAAAUACUUCAAAUGAAAUACGAUGAAGAUUUAAUAGUAUUUUUGAACUAAAUAAUAUAGGUUUGUUCUUAAAAUUAGAGCUGUUCAUGUUCGACAGGUCAUUCGGAAGAGAGUAAAUACAUUAAGUGGAAGUGAGCAUAAAUGUAUGCUGAAGUGCCUAAUUCGAUUCCAUUUAUUGCUGGGUGUUCACUGAUAAUAUUUGGAUUGCAUCAAAAAACAAAAAAUAAACACAUUCUGUUAAACUCUUAACAU